rnacentral:rRNA from 1 species
GAUGAACGUUGGCGGCGUGCCUAAUACAUGCAAGUCGAACGAAGACUGUAGUAAUACUGUCUUAGUGGCGAACGGGUGAGUAACGCGUGGGUGACCUGCCCCGAAGUGUGGGAUAACAGUCCGAAAGGAUUGCUAAUACUGCAUAAUAUCCAAGAGAUUAGAUGCUUUUUGGAUUAAAGGAGUAAUUCGCUUCGGGAGGGGCCCGCGUCCCAUCAGCUAGUUGGUAAGGUAAUGGCUUACCAAGGCGAUGACGGGUAGGGGACCUGAGAGGGUGGCCCCCCACAAUGGAACUGAAACACGGUCCAUACACCUACGGGUGGCAGCAGUAGGGAAUAUUAGUAAUGGGCGAAAGCCUGAACUAGCAACGCCGCGUGUGCGAAGAAGGCCUUCGGGUUGUAAAGCACUUUUGUAGAGGAUGAGGAAGGACGGUACUCUCAGAAUAAGUCUCGGCUAACUACGUGCCAGCAGCCGCGGUAAGAGUGUGUGUA